AACGCUGGCGGCAGGCCUAACACAUGCAAGUCGAACGGUAGCACAGAGGAGCUUGCUCCUCGGGUGACGAGUGGCGGACGGGUGAGUAAUGUCUGGGAAACUGCCUGAUGGAGGGGGAUAACUACUGGAAACGGUAGCUAAUACCGCAUAACGUCGCAAGACCAAAGAGGGGGACCUUCGGGCCUCUUGCCAUCAGAUGUGCCCAGAUGGGAUUAGCUAGUAGGUGGGGUAAUGGCUCACCUAGGCGACGAUCCCUAGCUGGUCUGAGAGGAUGACCAGCCACACUGGAACUGAGACACGGUCCAGACUCCUACGGGAGGCAGCAGUGGGGAAUAUUGCACAAUGGGCGCAAGCCUGAUGCAGCCAUGCCGCGUGUAUGAAGAAGGCCUUCGGGUUGUAAAGUACUUUCAGCGGGGAGGAAGGCGAUACGGUUAAUAACCGUGUCGAUUGACGUUACCCGCAGAAGAAGCACCGGCUAACUCCGUGCCAGCAGCCGCGGUAAUACGGAGGGUGCAAGCGUUAAUCGGAAUUACUGGGCGUAAAGCGCACGCAGGCGGUCUGUCAAGUCGGAUGUGAAAUCCCCGGGCUCAACCUGGGAACUGCAUUCGAAACUGACAGGCUAGAGUCUUGUAGAGGGGGGUAGAAUUCCAGGUGUAGCGGUGAAAUGCGUAGAGAUCUGGAGGAAUACCGGUGG
rnacentral:rRNA from 1 species